AAUAGUUGUCGAAUAAAGCUCAAUAUUUUGGACACAAAAAUGUAAACAAAGGCUUUGUUUACAUACGGACUGUAGAUCACCUUUAACAAUAAUUUAUCCAUUACUUAUUAUUAAAGGGGGAUAGCAAUGGCCGUGGGUCACGUGUGUGGCCGACAUACCGCGAAUGAAUAGGGGGGUCUGGAGGCAUUAACUCCCCAGAAAAUUUUUGAAAUUUCAAGCCCAAAAAUGCCAUUUCCUGCCGUCUGAGCAUCUAAAUUUUCUAGAAUUUAUCCUAACUAUACUUCUAUUUGAAAUAAAAGAAGGAAAAAACACACAAAG